GAUGAACGCUGGCGGCGUGCCUAAUACAUGCAAGUCGAGCGAACGGAUUAAGAGCUUGCUCUUAUGAAGUUAGCGGCGGACGGGUGAGUAACACGUGGGUAACCUGCCCAUAAGACUGGGAUAACUCCGGGAAACCGGGGCUAAUACCGGAUAAUAUUUUGAACUGCAUAGUUCGAAAUUGAAAGGCGGCUUCGGCUGUCACUUAUGGAUGGACCCGCGUCGCAUUAGCUAGUUGGUGAGGUAACGGCUCACCAAGGCAACGAUGCGUAGCCGACCUGAGAGGGUGAUCGGCCACACUGGGACUGAGACACGGCCCAGACUCUACGGGAGGCAGCAGUAGGGAAUCUUCCGCAAUGGGCGAAAGCCUGACGCAGCGACGCCGCGUGGGUGAUGAAGGCC
rnacentral:rRNA from 1 species